rnacentral:rRNA from 1 species
GCGGAGGAAAAGAAACUAACAAGGAUUCCCCUAGUAACGGCGAGUGAACCGGGAAAAGCUCAAAUUUGAAAUCUGGCUGUCUUCGAUAGUCCGAGUUGUAAUCUAUAGAAGCGUUUUCCGUGCUGAACUGUGUCUAAGUCCCUUGGAACAGGGUAUCAAAGAGGGUGAUAAUCCCGUACUUGACACAACCAUCAGUGCUCUGUGAUACGUUCUCUACGAGUCGAGUUGUUUGGGAAUGCAGCUCAAAAUGGGUGGUAAAUUCCAUCUAAAGCUAAAUAUUGGCGAGAGACCGAUAGCGAACAAGUACCGUGAGGGAAAGAUGAAAAGCACUUUGGAAAGAGAGUUAAACAGUACGUGAAAUUGUUGAAAGGGAAACGAUUGAAGUCAGUCGUGUUCAUUGGAUUCAGCUAGUUCUUCUAGUCUACUUCCUUUGAACGGGUCAACAUCAGUUUUGUCCGGUGGAUAAAGGAUUUAGGAAUGUGACUCCCUCGGGAGUGUUAUAGCCUAGGUUCACAUACACUGGGUGAGACUGAGGACUGCAGCUCGCCUUUUGGCCGGGGUUCGCCCACGUUCGAGCUUAGGAUGUUGACAUAAUGGCUUUAAACGACCCGUCUU